CAGCCGCCGCGGUAAUACCGGCGGCCCGAGUGGCGGCCACUAUUAUUGGGCCUAAAGCGUCCGUAGCCGGGCUGGUAAGUCCUCCGGGAAAUCUGGUCGCUUAACGAUCAGACUUCCGGAGGAUACUGCUGGCCUAGGGACCGGGAGAGGCCGAGGGUAUUCCCGGGGUAGGGGUGAAAUCCUGUAAUCCCGGGAGGACCACCUGUGGCGAAGGCGCUCGGCUGGAACGGGUCCGACGGGGAGGGACGAAGGCCAGGGGAGCGAACCGGAUUAGAUACCCGGGUAGUCCUGGCGGUAAACGAUGCGGACUAGGUGUCGGGCAAGCUAAGGGCUUGUCCGGUGCCGCAGGGAAGCCGUUAAGUCCGCCGCCUGGGGAGUACGGCCGCAAGGCUGAAACUUAAAGGAAUUGGCGGG
rnacentral:rRNA from 1 species